rnacentral:rRNA from 1 species
AGUGAACGCUGGCGGUAGGCCUAACACAUGCAAGUCGAACGGCAGCACAGUAAGAGCUUGCUCUUACGGGUGGCGAGUGGCGGACGAGUGAGGAAUACAUCGGAAUCUACUUUUUCGUGGGGGAUAACGUAGGGAAACUUACGCUAAUACCGCAUACGACCUACGGGUGAAAGCAGGGGAUCUUCGGACCUUGCGCGAUUGAAUGAGCCGAUGUCGGAUUAGCUAGUUGGCGGGGUAAAGGCCCACCAAGGCGACGAUCCGUAGCUGGUCUGAGAGGAUGAUCAGCCACACUGGAACUGAGACACGGUCCAGACUCCUACGGGAGGCAGCAGUGGGGAAUAUUGGACAAUGGGCGCAAGCCUGAUCCAGCCAUACCGCGUGGGUGAAGAAGGCCUUCGGGUUGUAAAGCCCUUUUGUUGGGAAAGAAAAGCAGCAGGUUAAUACCCCGCUGUUCUGACGGUACCCAAAGGAUAAGCACCGGCUAACUUCGUG